CUUGACUGGGCCUUUUUUGAUAAAUAAAAAAAAGAGAAAACUUCAAAAUAGACUUCUCCUUUCUUACUUUCUCACUUUAGUAUCCUAUGGUUUAAAGUGUAUCAAUUUGUCCCCCUGUGGUUUCGUUUUUUUUCUUUUUAUUAUCAAUUUUAUUUUAUUUUUUCUUAAAUCGGUGACAAAGUUAAAAUUAAAUGGUACUAAAGUGAAUAUAUAUUCGAUAAAUCUAGAUGGAUAUCUGUAGUUUAAAAUGUAUCAAUUUAUUUUUCUACCGUUUUAUUUUUAUCUUUUCGGAAGCUUUUUCGUUAAUAUUUCGUUAAAUUAUAUACAAAAAACUUCAGAUAACCAUCUAUAUUUAUCGAAUAGUCACUUUAGUAUUCUUUAAUUUUAACUUUGUCACUGAUUUUAAAAAAAAAAAAUAAUAAAAUUGAUAACAAAAAGAUAAAAACGAAACCACAGGGGAGCAAAUUGAUACGUUUUAAACCACAGAGUAGCAGAGUGAGAAUGCACGAAACCACAUGGGGAGUUUUUGAAGUUUUUCCUUAAUUUAAUGUGCUUUAAUAAAGUUUGGGG
rnacentral:lncRNA from 1 species